CCUACGGGAGGCAGCAGUGGGGAAUAUUGCACAAUGGGGGGAACCCUGAUGCAGCGACGCCGCGUGAGUGAAGAAGUAUUUCGGUAUGUAAAGCUCUAUCAGCAGGGAAGAAAAUGACGGUACCUGACUAAGAAGCCCCGGCUAACUACGUGCCAGCAGCCGCGGUAAUACGGAGGGGGCAAGCGUUAUCCGGAUUUACUGGGUGUAGGGGGAGCGCAGACGGCUGUGCAAGUCUGGAGUGAAUGGCGGGGGCCCAACCCCCGGACUGCUCUGGAAACUGUAAAGCUGGAGUGCAGAAGAGGUAAGCGGAAUGCCUAGUGUAGCGGUGAAAUGCGUAGAUAUUAGGAAGAACACCAGUGGCGAAGGCAGCUUACUGGACUGCAACUGACGUUGAGGCUCGAAAGCGUGGGGAGCAAACAGGAUUAGAUACCCGUGUAGUC
rnacentral:rRNA from 1 species